rnacentral:tRNA from 1 species
GCUGUGGCUCAGUGGAAGAGCCCCUGCACGGCACGUGGAAGGCAGCAGGUUCAAUCCCUGGCAUCUCCA